AGUUGCAAUCAUCCGUGUCCAAGCUUGUAUCGACCACUUGUAUUGUAUAAUUUUCAUAAAAGAUUAGUUGGACAAAGAAUUUCCCUUCUCUUGCAACAAAAGUGGUGCGAUUGUUGUUCUCACACACAAGUUCAAAGUCAUAGAGACCACACUGGGGAGGUUGGUUUUUUAAUCGGAAUGGAAAACUGAUAUUCAAAUUCCCACAGAAAGUAGAGCCACAAUCUUGGUUAAUAAGUUGCCUAGCAAGACAAACACCAGGGAAUAGAAUUACAAAUAAAGCAAAAUGGGGCAUUAGGUGGCCCAACAAUCUUUUUUCUGGGAAACACCUCAAUCAAAGCACAUCUAAUUCCAAGAACAGAGCCGCGGUUAUCUCAAGCAAAAGAAAAAGAAGAUUUUAAUAUUAUUCAAAAAUUUUAAAUAAAUUUGGACCAUAUACUUGUAGAUCAACCUUUAUCACCUUAAUAAAUUCCAAUUACAAUGAGGAGGAACAAGACAAUGCAAGUCUUAAGUCUUCUUUGAAACACAAAAACAUUUAAGUGGCUGAGAGCAACAACUGUUAUUACUUUGGUCCUUUUGUGUUAUGUAAGACAACUAUUUGUUGGAUAUUUCUAAAAAGCAAGUUCAUAGUUAGAACUGUCAAGCAAGGCGACUCAAUGCCCAAUUGUAUAGAUUUUUUAUUUUAUUUUAUUCCACGAAUAAUACUUAACUACUUUUCAAAUAAUUUUAUUAAUAUAAUUACAUGUUUUUAUCCAUUCUACUGUGAUACUUGAACUUGACAACUAGUUAUAUUUUGGUUCCUAAACUUAAAAAAUAUGAAAGUUUUAUGAUGUAACUCUCUAAUAUUGUGCUACAUCAUCACUUGAAAAUUAAAAAAUAAUGUAUAUAAAUUUUUAGAGAAUGGCGUGGUACAAUCUCUAAGUGUUCAUUAUUUUAAUAAUCAAGUUGAUGAUUGAACCAGUCAGACCACUAUUACUCGAUUCAAUUAGUUUGAUCAGUUCGACUGCCAGACCAACAAUAAUUAAAUAAAUCAUUAAACAUUCAUAAAAUUCUAAAAAAAUAGAAAACAAAAUUUAUUAAACCGAUUAGACAUGGUCAACAGCUGGGGUUUUUCUCUAAUUUUUUAAUUUUUACCAAUUUCAAGUAAUUUUUAUAUUUAAUUGAUUCAACAUCUUUGUUCAAAUCAUUAUACCGAUCGAUUCUCGGUCCAAUCAAUCUAACCAUCCAAUCCACUCCUAUACUAGUAACACUGAUCAUAUUAUCAAAUCUUGAUGGAAUUCAGGUUUAAGUUUAAGGGACUAUAAUAGACUUAGCUGCCAAGUUUAGAUAUCAAAGUGGACCAAAAAUUUUCGCUUAUUUUAAAGAGAUCUUAUUUUUCUAAAAGUUUUUACUCUUUUUUUUAAUUACUAUAUAAUUUGUACUAAUUAUUUUAAAACAUGUGUUAAAUCAUUUUUAACCAUACUCAAAACCAUUUUUUUAAUCAAAUAUAAGUACUUAAUAUUUAAUUAAAUUAAAAAGAUCGAAGAGAUAAAUUUCAAAAUUAUAUAUGAACUUUAAUUUAAUGUGCAAUUGUAUAUAUGAAUUUUAAUUUGGUGCAAUUAUACACGUGUAACUCUAAUUAUGGUUCAAAUAUAUACUUGAAACUUUAUAUAUACAAUUACACAUUAAACCAUAGUGCAUGUAUACAUAAUUCAUAAAUUGUACAUAAGAAGUAUGUUUUGGUUAGUGUAAUAUAACUGUCAUUCAAGACACACCCUUUGAAAUUCAAGUUUUGAUUCAGAUUCUUUCUUCUUCUUUUUUUAAUAAAAUCUCUAUGAAAGGUUUUUUUUUUUUUUAAUUCCUUAACGGUAGUGAUUUUGGGUUAUGGAGAAAAGGAGUGAAAAGUUGUGAUUUUUGUGGAAGUAGGGAUUUUUCUGUUUUAAUAGUUUUAGAAAUGGGUUUGAUGGAGAUUUCAAUAAUGCUUCAUGUUGGAUUAGUUUUGUUGCUACUUUGGAUGCUUUCUCAAUUCAAUCUUUGCCAUCCACUCCCUUAUUUCCUGUCUCUCAUCUACCUCUAUUUGGGUUUCAUUCAUCUUCUGCUGAGAAUAAAAAAUGAAUCUUUUUUUUCUUUAUUUUUGAACUUGGAUUGAACUUUUUUUUUAUUGUUUUUGUUACAAAAAUUCCUUUUAUUUCUUUGUUCAUCAAAGGUUCAUGAAAUGUAUGUGACGAGAUUGAGGAAGAAAUUGGAGUUGGAGGAAAUAAUGCACAAAGAAACUAGACAUGUCAACAACAAAACAAUAAUGCCAACACUCUCAAACGCAACAACAAAAAUGUUUUCGAAAAGGAAAUAGGCAUCACACUUAGAGUAUAGAAAUACUUGGAUUGUAACCAUGAAAAACGAAAUAAGAUAACCAACAUCCUCAUCACAAUGGAUUCUCCUCUGAUUCAUUAGUAGCCUCUGCAAUGCAAUAACACGAUUAAAAAUUAUUGUAGCAGUAACUCUUAUAAAUAUUAAAAAAUUAACUUCCAAACACAUCCAUCACGUCUAAAUCUAAUCUAAGUCAAGGUUGGUCUAAACAUGAAAAUUCUAACCGACUCAUCUCAAUUCAAUUCAACUAAACCUAAACUAAAUUGACACAAAAAUCUAUUUAUACAAUUUACUUUUAAUUUAUAUAUAAUUUUAGUUAUGAUUUAAAUUUAUACAUUUAAUAUUGAACAAAUAGUCAAAAUAAAGAAAAUUGGUAAUUAUGAACAAUAACUUAACACAUAGGUAAUUAAAGAAAAUACUCAUAUAUAUUUAUAUAUAAGGCAAAAUAAUAUAAAGCUAAAAAGUGAGAUAAUGAAGUAAAAUGUUUCUAACCUUAUGCAAUAUUUGAACUCGCUACAAUAACACUAUCCAAUGGUGUACUUGGCUCAUCAUUAGAGUUCUCACAAUUAUGAACCUCCAUUGAUGUUUCAAGAGGAAGUUGAUGGAAUGGCUUAGGAGGCAUCUCAAGGAGUUCAACAUCAGAUUCAAGCAUCUUCAAGACUUUACUCAUUGAAGGACGAUCAGAAGGCAGUAAUUGUAUACAUCAAAAGGCAGUUAUUAUCAUCUUCUUCACCAUUACUUUUUCAUCGUCAGAAACAUCUCCUAGCUCUAUGUCCUCUCCUUGAUCUAAUCGGUCAUAAAUCCAAGAUGGAAAAUAGAUCUGACUAGUGUGGUCAGCAAAUGCAUUCACAUUCUUUCUCCUUCCAACCAUUUCCAUCAGUAACAUUCCAAAACUAUAAACGUCAGCUUUGUAUGAGAUGCCUCCAAGAUUUUUGUAAACCAAUUCAGGAGCAAUAUAUCCUAUUGUUCCUCGUGCCGCAGUGAGGGAGAAAAUGCUAUCAUCUACUGAAUACAAUUUAGCAAGACCAAAAUCGGAAACUUUUGGAUUAAAAUUCUCAUCAAGAAGAAUAUUGUGUGGCUUGAUAUCAAAAUGUAGAAUUUGCAUGUCACACCCUUGAUGCAAGUAGUGAAUUCCUUGAGCCACCCCAAGCACAAUAUCAAACAUUUUUUUCCAGCCCAAAGUGUUCUUAUUUUCUUCUGUAAAUAUGAUUUUAUCUAAAGAUCCAUUAGACAUGAAGUCAUAUACCAGAGCUUGCUUUGAUCCCUCCACACAAAAUCCAAUAAGUUUUGCCACAUUGGCAUGAUGAAUUCUCCCAAUAGAAGCAACUUCAUUUAUGAAAUCUUGGCCAUUACCCUUUGAUUUGCCCAGCAAUUUUACAGCCACGUGAUGCCCACUACGAAGCUUCCCUUUAAAUACUGAGCCAUAACCCCCUUCACCUAAUUUAUCUUUAAAACUUUUAGUCAUUUUUUUAAUUUCUUUAUAGGAAUACCUAAUGGGAACAAGAUUGUUUUGGCUUUGAAGGAACUCUUCGAUCAUAUCAUCCAUAGAUAAAUGUCUUCUUCUCCAUUUGUAUGUAACAAGAGCAAGCAAAAAAAUUAUCGCAGGCAACGACCUCGAUGAGAUAACUCCAACUUUAAAGAAAUACAAUGUAACACGUCAGUAAUUGUGAAAUUAAUCAAAUAAUUUUUAACUUACAUUCUAAAUAUAUAUAUACUGGGAUAGUUUUAUGCUGUUUUAAAAUUAACUAGUAUUGGAAAGAGUGGCAUAUUUCACUAGUUUUAUGCUGUUUUAUAAUUAACAUCAUUGAUACCUUGUGGUUACUCUUCUAUACCAAAUAAAAAACUUUGAAGGGCCAUUGAAAACCCAAAAAAAAAAAAACUCUGAAUUACAUGUUAUGUUUUUGUCAUUAGCAGGUCUACCUCAACAAAUUCAUAUUCAGAACUUCACACACAAAGUAAAUCAUACCAAGUGCAUACCAAUUAUUCUAACCUCACACAUUCGAAUAGAUUUCAUAAAUGAAACAAAAUCUAGAACCGCCAAAAAAAAUAAGAUUUAUUAAAUUCAAGAGCUAACUUUGUUGAUUGUUUUAGCAAAUUGAGUAUCCACCAAACUUAUAACCUGUGAAAGUUCUAAACAAGACCAUUAUGAAAACAAGCUUAAGUAAAACUCCAACAUCUUUCUUAACUUGACAAAAAAAUUCUUUCAUAAACUUUGAAGGGCCAUUGAAAACCCCAAAAAAACAACUCUGAAUUACAUGUUAUGUUAUUGUCACUAGCAGGUAUACCUCAACAAAUUCUAGCUAAAAGAAGUAAAUCAUAUACAAAGUGCAUACCGUUUAUUCUAACCUCACACAUUCAAAUAGAUUUGACAGGUCGGGUCCUGACAUUCACCCAAAUUUCAUAAAUGAAACAAAAUCCCCCCCCCCCCCCAAAAAAAAAGAAAAGAAAAAGAAAUGAUAAAUUUAAGUGCAUACCUGUUGCUUCAACAGAGUGAUCAUAAAUUGCUGUAGAAAUCCAAAGAUAAAAGAUAUGUAUAUCAGUAUAAUUAAAGAACAAAAUAGUAAAAUAUAAACAUGCAAAUAAACUCUGCAAAGCAUACUUUUAUACAUUUCACUAGCACCGGGUCGAUAGGGCCCAUGGAAAAUGAAAUGUUCAAAGCUCUUUCGGUAUCUUCUCAAACCAAUUUUAACUUCAUUCAAUCUGCAAUAUGAAUACACCCAAAUAAACAGAUUGAUGGGUUUGAUCCAAAACUUAUUAAAUGUUUUGCUAUGAACAAUAUCAACAAUUAGCUGUGUACUACUAAUUACAUAUCAAACAUUAGAGUUUAAAAACAAUGGUGGAAUAUUUACGUACUGCCAACUAAAUUGAAAAUUCAUGAAAAAUUAAAAAAAAUAAAAUAAAAAGAGAGACAUUAUAUUUUAAGAAGGUUCGCAGAAUUUAGAAACAUUGUGGUUGUAAAAACAUAAUCAAAUAUAAUUUUCCAAAAAGAAGACAAAACAGCAGACAAAGCAGAGGCAGAUACUAAAUUGGAAAUGCUUUUAGUUCAUUUGAUUGUUAGAUGUUGAUCAAUUUUAGAUGCAAAAUCAUGAUACUUAAUUAGCAUCAUAAAAUUUAAUUGCAAAAAAAGUAACAUAAAAUAAAACAAAACAAAAAGUAGAUGUUGUAACUAAAAAUUCCAGUCUGAUGAUUUAAUUAAUGAUGCACACUCAAAAUGCAAACUGAAAUUAUUAAAGAAAAAUACUUACAGUCUUUUAAACCAAACUUUGUUAUAGCAACUCUGGUAAUUGCAUCUAUCCCAUUCGACCCAAAAACCCUCUAAUAGUUUUUUGUAGAUAUUCAGUGUAGACAUGCCUAUUAUAUUAUCAGUCAUAAUUGGAACCUCCGCUUCAAUAGUGCAAGCUUGAUUGAUAUCAGAUGAGUGGGUGUUUCCAUUUAAAAAAUAGAAAUGGGAAGUUGGAAGGGAAGAGGAGAUAUUAUAUUUGAUGGUACAACGAGAAGCUUCAAUAUAAAGUGAUGAUUUUAUAGGUUUCGUGCAAUUCAUAACAUAAAUAAUGCUGAUCUCUAACCUUCCAUCAUAAUAAUAUUUAUUAUAAUAAUAAUUAUUAUUAUUAGAAGAAGAAAGGUAAAAAGAUGAUAGUUCAUAAUCAUAAGUAUAAUAAUAAUAAUAUACAGAAGUAAGAGGAAGGGAGUUGCAAUCAUCCGUGUCCAAGCUCGCAUCAACCAUUCGUAUUGUAUAAUUUUCGUAAAAGAUUUGUUGGACAGAGAAUUUCCCUUCUUUAUCGACCAAAAUGGUGCGAUUAUUGUUCUCACACUCAAAUUCAAAGCCAUAAUGACCACACUGGGGAGGUUGGUUUUUUAAUCGGAAUGGAAAACUGAUAUUCAAAUUCCCACAGAAAGUAGAGCCGCAGUCUUGGUUAAUAAGACGCCUAGCAAAACAAACAGCAGGAAAUAGAAUUACAAAUAAAGCAAAAGCGGGCAUUAGGUGACCCAACAAUGGCAGUUUUGCUUUUAAUUUUGGCAUGCUAAAAUUUUGGGUAAGGAAGAAGAACAAUAAUGGGG
rnacentral:lncRNA from 1 species